rnacentral:rRNA from 1 species
UACGGGGGGGGCAAGCGUUGUUCGGAAUUACUGGGCGUAAAGGGCUCGUAGGCGGCCAACUAAGUCGGAUGUGAAAUCCCCAGGCUUAACCUGGGAACUGCAUCCGAUACUGGAUGGCUUGAAUCCGGGAGAGGGAUGCAGAAUUCCAGGUGUAGCGGUGAAAUGCGUAGAUAUCUGGAGGAAUACCGGUGGCGAAGGCGGCACCCUGGACCGGCAUUGACGCUGAUGAGCGAAAGCUAGGGGAGCAAACGGG